GUGGGGAAUAUUAGACAAUGGGCGCAAGCCUGAUCUAGCCAUGCCGCGUGAUCGAUGAAGGCCUUAGGGUUGUAAAGAUCUUUCAGUGGGGAAGAUAAUGACUGUACCCACAGAAGAAGUCCCGGCUAACUCCGUGCCAGCAGCCGCGGUAAUACGGAGGGGGCUAGCGUUGUUCGGAAUUACUGGGCGUAAAGCGCACGUAGGCGGAACUGAAAGUCAGAAGUGAAAUCCUAGGGCUCAACCUUGGAACUGGCUUUGAAACUCCUGUUCUUGAGUUCGAGAGAGGUGAGUGGAAUUCCGAGUGUAGAAGUGAAAUUCGUAGAUAUUCGGAGGAACACCAGUGGCGAAGGCAGCUCACUGGCUCGAUACUGACGCUGAGGUGCGAAAGCGUGGGGAGCAAACAGGAUUAGAAACCCGAGUAGUCC
rnacentral:rRNA from 1 species